UAGCACCGAAAACAUAAUUUACCCUUUCUUUUUCUAAUUUUUUUUUUCCUUUUCUUUUUCCAUUGGAUCUGUUGAACCUACAAACCUAAUGACCCAUUCCCAAAUCUUCUCUCCCGUUUUCUCGGCGGAAAAUGGCAAUUCCGUACUUACAAACAAACUCGUCAACACCGAGUCACCAACUCACCCCCAUACUCCUGUGAUAAUGAUAUCACCAAAUCGUCGACUCGGUGUACCGAGUUACCAGUGGGGCAGCAAAUCGUUGCACAGUGUUGCUGCUGCUGACGCUUCUUCUGAUUCCUAACUCUACCAAAUAGUAAGAUCAAGUGAGAGGAUCACCGCCAAAGCCAAGAUCAUUAAGGCAACAAACCUGCAAACAGUGUCUAAACCUGUCAAUGUGCUGCUGGUCAUACUUAUUUCCCCCAAACUUAUCACCAUGGGAAGUUAUCAAGUUAAAAUCACCAUAAAUGAUCCGUUUAUUUUUAUUGGAAUUGUAAGUGUAAAGAUCAUUAAUAAUAGAGCAGAUUUGAAGUAACUGUCAUAGAUCAGAAAAGCCAUAAAAACCUGUUGCCUCUCCAUCUAUCAUUAUCAGUGUUAGAAGUAACUGUCAUAUAUAAUAAAUUAGGACUUUUAUCAUAAAUUUCAAUAGUAACAGAAUUAUUCCAGAAACAAGCAAAGGCCACCAGCUCUACCAUUACCACUGAUAUCACAGCUGUAAGCCACAAAAUUAUUCAUACCAACCUAUGUUCCUGAUAUGGAACAUUUCAUUUUCUUUAAUUUUUGUUUCACAAAGGAAGAUCAUGUCCCAGGUUUCUUAAGAUUGAUCAGGUUCUUCAGAGGUCUAACUGUACAAGGGGUACCAAGUCCUCAACAGUUCCACGAAAGAAUUUUCAUAUCAUUCCUGUUCUAGCAGGCCUGCCGUUCUAUUGAGGUUAUGUUGAUCCAUGUCCGUUAUAGCUAAUUCAUCUAUCUUCUUUCUUUUGUGAUUUUGUUCUUAUUCUGCAUGCAUUUGUUGUAUCUAUUCUGCCACGGUGCUUGGUUCAGGGUGUAUUUUGCCUGAUUUGUUCUUGGAAACUUCCUGCAUAUUUAAUUUAGCAAAAUUUUCCAAAAAGCUACUAGAGAAUUAAGGCUGUUAGAGGGUAUUAAAUUAUGUGAAUUCUGUGUGUCUAACCAGAUCACACACACUGUGUAUUUAUAACGUAGAUACAAUAAAUACAAGGAAGCCUAGGUGGUUGGGGAGACUAGGACUAUUAAUAACUAAUCUAGGAAGAUGUAAAGUACAUAGAGUAUCUACAUAUUUUUUUGAUUCUAACACUCCUCCUCAAGCUGGAGCAUACAUGUCGUAUGCACCAAGCUUGUUACAAAUAGAUUCAACCCGAGGUCCUGUAAGGGACUUAGUAAAUAUGUCAGCUAAUUGAUCAUUUGAACCAACAAAAUCAGUUACAAUUUCUCCUGAAAGAACUUUAUCUCGUACAAAGUGACAAUCGAUCUCUAUAUGUUUAGUUCUUUCAUGAAAAACCAGGUUGGAGGCAAUAUGUAGUGCAGCUUGGUUGUCACAAAUUAAUUUCAUUGUUUUGACAUCUCCUAAUUUGAGUUGUUGGAGUAAUUGUCUUAGCCACGUAAGUUCACAAGCUGCUGCGGUCAUAGCAUGAUAUUCUGCUUCUGCACUCAACCUUGCAACUAUGUUUUGUUUCUUGCUCUGCCAUGAGAUCAAAUUUCCUCCAAUGAGGACACAAUACCCUGAAGUGGAUCUUCUAUCUGCUGGUGAACCUGCCCAAUCAGCAUCAGAAUAACCCACAACUUGGGUGUUGCCCUUGUUUUCAUAAAGUAAUCCUUUACCUGGUACACUCUUUAUAUACUUAAGAAUGCGAAUCACAGCGUUCCAAUGUUCAUCACAUGGAGCAUUUAGAAAUUGGCUAACCACACUAACAUCAAAAGUAAUGUCCGGUCUUGUCACUGUGAGGUAAUUAAGUUUGCCAACUAGACGACGAUAUCUACCAGGGUCUUUCAAUGGCUGUCCUGUUAAGCUGUCCAAGGUAAACGGCCGUACGUGUCACGGUAACGACACCAUCAUAUGUGCCACAGUCAGAUCGACCAGUCCCCGAAGUGUCUCCAUCAACCACUGUCUCACGCGCCGUCCUGCACUCUCUCACAUGCCGUCACAUGCGUUUCUGAAUCUCUCAGUCUUGCCGGAGCGUGAAGGCCACACACCACUGUACAGUCCUCUGACGAGUCCGCCGUUGGUUCUGUUAGACUCGCCUCCCCUUCUUAGUUCAUUGGGACCACUUCCAGUUCGUGGAUCCCACGUUUAAGGUGUGUUCCAGUGGUUUCUUUUCUGUUUAAUAACUUCUGUAUUGUUGUGAACGCAUCCACAUGGCUUUUCUGCAGUGUUUUGGUUGAUGUCCCCAAUGUCUAUGGGCUUUGAUACUAGGCCCAAAUCAAGGAUAUGGAGGGUUUACAAGAGAAAGAAAGGGAAAGUCAUAGAAAAUAAUGACGUGGCCAAGUGAUGCAUGAUGUGCACGGUUUAUAGCUAUAUAAGUGGUGUUAGUGAGAUAGAAUAAUCAUCUGACCCAAUCAUUGCAACUUUGUUUGGAUGCAGUUCAUGAAAGUUUAUUAUGGUUCCAAUACUAGUUGGUUUGAUUUUCUCUUUUAAAGGGUAUAUUUAUAUCAAGCUUAAUGCUUGUAAGCUAUAGCUUGAGGGUGAGUGUUAGAAUAUUAGAAAAUAUCUUAUAAUAUAUGAAUAAGAUUUAAAUUAUAUUCUGUAGAGUAAACAUCUCUGAUUAGGUUUGUUGGUUCUUAUCCUUAGUUUAGUUGUAGAUUUAAAUGCAAUCACUUGGUUAUAGUAGUAUAUCAAGUGAGUGUCAAGCUACUAUUAAGUCAUUAUCAAUAAUAUUCAAAGUUCUUGUUAUUCUCUCUUCCUUUUACCUAAAAUCUCACAAAUUCAAUAAGUAUCUUUGAUUUGGUUGUUGAUGACAAUGAACAAUUUGAACAUGGAAGUUGAUGUGGUAGGGAACCUCCUUUAUUUUCAAUUUUAUUUUGUGACUUAUGUUCAUUUUAUGCAGCCCUGUUCCUCUUAUAAAGAAUAAGAAGAUGGAAAUUAUACCACCGUAUUACAACCAUGUAAAGCAAUCACAUUCAACAAUGCCAUAUAAUUUGUAAAAAGAGGGUUAUGUGCAAAUGUGACCUGCCGGUCGGGUUCACAGGCCUACUAUAGAUGUUUACUCCUACAGCAACUGCCACAAAAACCCAAAUGCAUGAGAUAGCAGUCAGUGCAGUGCAGCCAUGAGACCGGCACAUCUUGCAGUUUUCUAGCACUCUGAUACAACUGCCUGGUUUGAAACUCUUGGAUUGGAAUUAUCUCCCAACAAAGAGACGGAGAAGAAAAGCAACUCCUUUCGCGUAAAGGUUGCGGUGGACUCACAGCUGCUGGUACAACUUUCUUCAAUAGAGAAACAUGCAAAACCGGAUGGAUCCUACUCUGGAGAGAGUUGGAAAAACAAGCACAGUAUACAGGCUUAACAAGUCUUUGCUUGUUCUCUUUAGUUCAAUACAUACAUGUUUUGUGGCUACUACUACCCCAUAUUUGCUUUGUAAUUUGAACCUUUGAUGAUCUGAUAUCUAAAGUUAGUGUAUUUCUGGUAUAUUUCUAUUUCAACUCACUUGAUGUAAGAUUUUGAAAUAAUGUUUUUAUGAAUUAUGCAUUGCUGUUAAUGAAUUGGAACUGAUUGAUAAAGAUCUGCUGAUUUACAUUUUGAA